UUAGGUUUUCUUCAUUUUCUUCUCGAAUUUUUGUUGUUGAAAGUUGAUAGAGAUAAUAUGAAGAUGAAGAAGAGGAGAAG
rnacentral:pre_miRNA from 1 species